UACGUAGGAUCCGAGCGUUGUCCGGAAUUACUGGGCGUAAAGGGUGCGUAGGCGGCUUGUUAAGUCUCAUGUGAAAUCUCCCGGCCUAACUGGGAGGGGUCAUGGGAUACUGGCAGGCUUGAGGGCAGUAUAGGAGAGCGGAAUUCCCGGAGUAGUGGUGAAAUGCGUAGAUACCGGGAGGAACACCAGUGGCGAAAGCGGCUCUCUGGGCUGUUCCUGACGCUGAGGCACGAAAGCGUGGGGAGCAAACCGG
rnacentral:rRNA from 1 species